GGGCAAAUGGUCUAGGGGUAUGAUUUUCCCUUCGCAUUACACCACUAUGUGACUGGGAAAGGUCCGGGGUUCAAAUCCCCGUUUGUCCA
rnacentral:tRNA from 1 species